rnacentral:rRNA from 1 species
UGGGGAAUCUUGGACAAUGGGGGCAACCCUGAUCCAGCGAUGCCGCGUGAGCGAAGAAGGCCUUAGGGUUGUAAAGCUCUUUCGCCCGCGACGAUAAUGACGGUAGCGGGAGAAGAAGCCCCGGCUAACUCCGUGCCAGCAGCCGCGGUAAUACGGAGGGGGCUAGCGUUGUCCGGAAUUACUGGGCGUAAAGCGCGCGUAGGUGGUCUGCCAAGUCGGGGGUGAAAGCCCAGGGCUCAACCCUGGAAUGGCCUCCGAGACUGAUGGACUCGAGUUCGGGAGAGGAGAGCGGAAUUCCCAGUGUAGAGGUGAAAUUCGUAGAUAUUGGGAAGAACACCGGUGGCGAAGGCGGCUCUCUGGCCCGCAACUGACACUGAGGCGCGAAAGCGUGGGGAGCAAACAGG